rnacentral:rRNA from 1 species
CAGCCCCUCGAGUGGUGGGGAUGAUUAUUUGGCCUAAAGCGUCCGUAGCCGGCCCUGUAAAUCUCUCGUUAAAUCCAGCGUCCUAAGCGUUGGGCUGCGAGAGAGACUGCAGAGCUAGAGGGUGGGAGAGGUCAGCGGUAUUCCUGGGGUAGGGGCGAAAUCCAUUGAUCCCAGGAGGACCACCAGUGGCGAAGGCUGCUGACUAGAACACGCCUGACGGUGAGGGACGAAAGCUGGGGUAGCGAAUCGGAUUAGAUACCCGAGUAGUCC